GGGUCCGUAGUGCAGUUGGUCGUCACGCCGCCCUUCAAGGCGGAGGACGCCGGUUCGAAUCCGGCCGGACCCC
rnacentral:tRNA from 1 species